rnacentral:lncRNA from 1 species
UGCUAUACAUUUUCCUUAUAUUAGUUGUGUUAUAUGUUGCCUUUUUAAAGCGUUUGAUUGAAACUAAUCCUUCUCUGGUAUAAUUUAUAUCUGUUUUAUAAUCCACAACAAUUCUACAGAAAAGAAAGAGAAAAGAUGAAAAGAAAAGCAGAAAUACAAAAAUAUUGGGUUUGUUAACGGGUGAGGCUGGUUUGAAUGCCCCG